GCCAGGUGCAGUGGCGCACACCUGUAAUCCCAGUGGCUCAGGAGGCUGAGAAAGGAGGAUCCCGAGUUCAAAGCCAGCCUCAGCAACUUAGCAAGGCCCUAAGCAUCUCAGUGAGACCCUGUCUCUA
rnacentral:sRNA from 1 species